rnacentral:snoRNA from 1 species
AUCCUAUGGUGACGGCAAGCCAAAAGAUACUCUUGGAAGUGCUCCCACGCCUCGGGGAAUGACUCAUCUGAUGCCUGCUAGAAAUUGGUUAUCCUUCCACGAAGGGC